AACGAACGCUGGCGGCAGGCUUAACACAUGCAAGUCGAGCGCCCCGCAAGGGGAGCGGCAGACGGGUGAGUAACGCGUGGGGAUCUGCCUAGUGGUACGGAACAACUCAGGGAAACUUGAGCUAAUACCGUAUAAGUCCUUCGGGAGAAAGAUUUAUCGCCAUUAGAUGAACCCGCGUCUGAUUAGCUAGUUGGUGAGGUAACGGCUCACCAAGGCGACGAUCAGUAGCUGGUCUGAGAGGAUGAUCAGCCACACUGGGACUGAGACACGGCCCAGACUCCUACGGGAGGCAGCAGUGGGGAAUAUUGGACAAUGGGCGCAAGCCUGAUCCAGCCAUGCCGCGUGAGUGAUGAAGGCCUUAGGGUUGUAAAGCUCUUUCGUCAGGGAAGAUAAUGACGGUACCUGAAGAAGAAGCCCCGGCUAACUUCGUGCCAGCCGCCGCCGUAACAC
rnacentral:rRNA from 1 species